rnacentral:tRNA from 1 species
UGGGGUGCAGCUCAGUGGAAGAGCACUUGCCUAGCAUGCGCAAGGACUUGGGCUAGAUCCCCAACACCAAAA